rnacentral:pre_miRNA from 1 species
UACAAUGUUUUGACUUUUCGUUUUAUUUGAAAUUUUUUUGCUAUUGAUAUUUUUAUUGUUACUAGAUGAUAGAAUAUAAACAGUACUUUAUGUGUGACUAACUUUUUUAAGCUUUUAAAUAAAAUUUUUAAAUAAGACGAAUGGUCAAAGUAUUGAACACAGAAAUC